UACGUAGGGUGCGAGCGUUGUCCGGAAUUAUUGGGCGUAAAGAGCUUGUAGGCGGUCUGUCGCGUCUGCUGUGAAAAUCCGGGGCUCAACCCCGGACUUGCAGUGGGUACGGGCAGACUAGAGUGUGGUAGGGGAGACUGGAAUUCCUGGUGUAGCGGUGAAAUGCGCAGAUAUCAGGAGGAACACCGAUGGCGAAGGCAGGUCUCUGGGCCAACUACUGA
rnacentral:rRNA from 1 species